rnacentral:rRNA from 1 species
UGGGGAAUCUUGCACAAUGGGCGAAAGCCUGAUGCAGCGACGCCGCGUGCGGGAUGAAGGCCUUCGGGUUGUAAACCGCUUUCAGCAGGGACGAGGCCGCAAGGUGACGGUACCUGCAGAAGAAGCCCCGGCUAACUACGUGCCAGCAGCCGCGGUAAUACGUAGGGGGCAAGCGUUAUCCGGAUUCAUUGGGCGUAAAGCGCGCGUAGGCGGUUUGUUAGGUCAGGAGUUAAAUCUGGGGGCUCAACCUCGGGCCGGGUUCCGAACUGGAGGGCUCGAGUGCGGUAGAGGCAGGCGGAAUUCCCGGUGUAGCGGUGGAAUGCGCAGAUAUCGGGAAGAACACCGAUGGCGAAGGCAGCCUGCUGGGCCGGCACUGACGCUGAGGCGCGAAAGCUAGGGGAGCGAACAGG